UGUGGUUUUGUUAGCCCUAGUCUUUACUGCUUGCAGUGUUGCAUCCAAGAUCAUUACAUUUACAUUUACAUUUACAUUUAGUCAUUUAGCAGACGCUUUUAUCCAAAGCGACGUACAAGGGAGAGAACAAUCAAGCUAUGAGCAAUAGAGACCAAUAAAUACAAUUUUACAUAAGAAAUAGAAAAAAAAGUGCAGGAAUGUUAUAUACUGUAAGUGCAAGUUAAGUAGGCUACUAGUAGAAGUGCAAGUUAGGAAGGGAGGUGCUCUCUGAAGAGUUGGGUCUUCAAAAGCUUCUUAAAGGUAGAGAGGGACACCCCUGCUCUGGUCUGUGACUGCUUAGGUUAACUAUAUAUAGGUUCAUUAGUUAAUUUGGGGUAAGUGUGAUAAUGACCAGACAGUUUGUCACUCAUGGUUUGUAAACCAUGUGGCUGUAUCAUUUACAGUACCAUUGACACUGUAGCUAGCUUCUAACCAUUGAGCUACGGUUGGCGAUAAACACUCCCUCCAACCUCUUUUAGUCUCUGCUAUCACUAUUAUAGGGGCUCUCAUUUAACUAUUCACAAAUAGCCAUAUAGCCAACUAUAUGGAAAAUAAUUAGUGGUUGAAAAGUGUUGCCAGGGUAGCAUUGGACAGUCCCUAUGUUGGGGCAAAUCUAAGCAGAGAGUUAAAUGAUUGGAUGCUACAAUCUUUUUUAACCUAUUGUGUGCUAUAUAUAGUUGUCAAUUGAAUGUCAGUAUGUCUAUUAGAAAAAAGAUUCUCAUUAAUGGAUGCUGAAGACUGAUGGGACUGAUUCCUGACGCCAAGGUGAUGCCAUGGUUCUCUUACAGAACUGAUGUAAUAUCCCUUUCUCUUACAGAACUGAUGUAAUAGCCCUUUCUGCUUGUGUAACUGCCUCAUAUCUCCAUGUCAUAAGCUUAUACAUGUUUGUAGCAAGAACAAAACACUGAUGUGUGGAGUUUAGGGAGCAAUAUCCUGUAUGUUUGUGUAGGUAUAUGGUGUAGGUAUGGGCGUGCGGCUGUGUUUUGAGUGUAUGGGCGUGCGGCUGUGUUUAGAGUGUAUGGGUGUGCGGCUGUGUUUUUAGUGUAUGGGUGUGCGGCUGUGUUUUGUGCGCACUGGCAUGGUGACUUUGUCUGUCUAUUUGUGUGUGUGUGUG
ensembl:lncRNA